UGAGCUAAUCUAGCCAAAAGAUAAAGAGCAAGUGUGCGCCUACGGUUGGGAUCAUCCAAUGCUAAAACCGACAAUCCAGCAACAGAACCUGCUAAAAUCAUGCUUAAAAUUCUGGUCCAUCAUCCCCUUAAACAAUGUCACAAAGGAGGAAUAGGACCCCAUCACGCCCAAGAGUUGCAAGCAGAUAACAUGAACACUUGACAAUGAAAGAGAAGAAGAGAGAUCAGUACUUACGCAUUGAAAGGAGUCUCCUUCUUUCGCCAUUUCCUUAACAAACAUCUAAGCGCAUGAUAAGAUCCCGUAAAUCCACCGAAAAGCAAACCAAUACGGCAAGCCUCUUCUCUUACAAUCAGAUCUUUCUCCGAU
rnacentral:lncRNA from 1 species